CCUACGGGGGGCUGCAGUGGGGAAUUUUGGACAAUGGGCGCAAGCCUGAUCCAGCUAUUCCGCGUGUGGGAAGACGGCCUUCGGGUUGUAAACCACUUUUGUAGAGAACGAAAAGUCUGUUGAUAAUACCGAUAGAUGAUGACGGUACUCUAAGAAUAAGCACCGGCUAACUACGUGCCAGCAGCCGCGGUAAUACGUAGGGUGCGAGCGUGAAUCGGAAUUACUGGGCGUAAAGGGUGUGCAGGCGGUUUUGCAAGAUGGAUGUGAAAGCCCCGGGCUUAACCUGGGAAAGCCAUACAUGACUGCAAGACUAGAGUGCGUCAGAGGGGGGUGGAAUUCCAAGUGUAGCAGUGAAAUGCGUAGAUAUUUGGAAGAACACCGAUGGCGAAGGCAGCCCCCUGGGACGCAACUGACGCUCAUACACGAAAGCGUGGGGAGCAAACAGGAUUAGAUACCCCUGUAGUC
rnacentral:rRNA from 1 species